CGGACGGGUGAGUAACACGUGGAUAACCUACCUAUAAGACUGGGAUAACUUCGGGAAACCGGAGCUAAUACCGGAUAAUAUAUUGAACCGCAUGGUUCAAUAGUGAAAGACGGUUUUGCUGUCACUUAUAGAUGGAUCCGCGCCGCAUUAGCUAGUUGGUAAGGUGACGGCUUACCAAGGCAACGAUGCGUAGCCGACCUGAGAGGGUGAUCGGCCACACUGGAACUGAGACACGGUCCAG
rnacentral:rRNA from 1 species